CGCAAUAGGUUCUGGGACGAUAGAUUUAUCAUCCAGCAAAAUAUGUCAUUGUGACAGGCCUGGUUGUGUUACAGCAGCUCUGUAGCAGCAGUGGCUUUGUGUUUUAUUGCUCUGGAGCCUUUGGGGUGUGUGUUAACACACUGCUGCUGCUGCUGCUAAUUGAUCUAGGCACUAAAGGGCUUCCCUAGUCAUUUAAACAUCAUCAUUCUGUGGUGUAAAGAUUACUCAUAAUUGGAAAACACUCAAGACUAGUACAAAGAAAAUAGCAAACAGGAACCAGAAUACGUGAAUAGCAUCUUCACACGUCAGGUAAAUGAGACCCAAACCUACUUUUUUUGCCCCUUUGACCAGUCUGGACGGCCAAAUUCUGAUCUUUUCAGCCCCAAAAAAUCUGAUUUGCGUCAGUUCCAUAUAUGGUACAGCAAAUACGCAUUUGAUCGUCUUCAAACCUUUGCGUCAUUUAUGAGAGAGAAAUGUAACCAGGAUCAUUUUUUCAUUUUUGUUAGAUUCAGUUUUAUUUAUUUAUUUUACUUAAAGAUUUAUUUAAAAAAUAAAAUCCUCCUUUCCUUAAUUUAUUCAGCACAAAAUAAACCAAGCGAGAACAAAACAACACACUGUUCUCGCGGGGUUUUAAAGUCACAUGACAGCUGCUGCUUACAUGGCUGAUGAACAGCUUCCUGGGUAGGAGACGCUGUCAGACGCUGGAGUGCAGACGUGCGAUUGUUUAGCCAAACGUUCUAGAGAGCACACGGUUUGUCAAGUGGGAACAGGUGAAUGUUUUGUUUGUUUGUUUGUUUGUUUGUUUGUUUGUUUGUUUGUUUGUUUGUUUGUUUGUUUGUUUGUUUGUUUGUGAGCUAGCAUGCUAGCACUAGCCUCCCAUCUAUUGUUGAACUCGGUCAGUAUGAACACUGAAACAUUUAAACUGACAAUAUUUCAAUUAUAAAACACUAUCAUUGUGUAAAAUGAAAUGCCUGAGUAUUUGCAUGAGUUUAACUAAUGUCAUGUAAACUCAUUUUGCUGCAGUAAUUUGAAAGACAUGUACAUGUGGAAUUGGUCAUUCAAGCCUGUUUUGUACAGGCAGGUUCUGUUCCAGAUUCCCAUUCCAGGAUUCUGGAUCUAGGUUCAGUCCUAGAUUGUCUGUUACCAUAGCGUCCUGACUGGCGAGCUAACCCAAACAGCGGAUCACAGAAACACCACAACCUAUCAACUUCUUCCAAACUGGUAGGAGACAUUCAGCCCAACAAUCUUCACUCUGGACUGGACCACAAAGAAGGGAACUGGAUUAUUUUCUUUUUCAUUAUUUCAUUCAUCAGCAGCAAGAAACUGAACUCCUUGGACAAAGGAAAACAUUCUGGACUUUAACCGUUUUGAAUAACCUGUAUGUAUAUAUUUUAAAUAUGAAUACAUUUCACUAGUUUUGCACCA